UUUGAAAUUGUUAGUAAUUAAGUUGAUGAAGGUAGCUAUUUUGUAAAAUAGCUCAAUUACAAUGGUUAAUCUUUUUUUUUUUGAAAUAAUUGUUCAAAUUAAUCAUAAAAUCAAGUGCACUUUAAAUAAAGGUUGUAGUGGUCUAUGUGUGUGGAUCUUUUCUGAUUGGAGUAUUGAACAUGUCAGUGGUGAAAUUUUAACAUUGUUUGAUAAGGUAGUCCCUAGAAUGGGUCCUAAGAGAUGAUGGUGAAGAUUCACUCGUGACAUGAUCAAGUGCUUUUUCCAAUUAUUAUUGUUUUUAUUAUGUAAUUGUCUUUUGAUUUCAGGUAGGUUUGCUUAAAGAAGUUUCAUUGUUUUGUUGGAGAGGACACCAAGACGUGGCUAUCUGUUGCUGGAAAUUUGUUUUUAUUUUUUGUUGUGUUGACUAUUGAACCUUUAAACUUCUUUAAUUGUCGUAUUUUAAUUUCUUUUGUUGUUGAAUUUCAUUGAAUCAAGACUUUUGUUAGUUAUGGUGUACUUGUAUUCUAUAAUUUCAAUGUUAUGACUUUGCAU